AUGGUGAAGAGUAUUCUCCCACAACGUCUGUUGGCAGGUCGGCUUCCGGAGUUUGAGUCUCAAGCUAGGGAUCACCACUUCCUUUAGCAGAAGCUCCGAUAUGAAAUAGCAAUCGUUAUAGAUAGACUUUGAGAUGCUUGAAUAGCUGCAGCCUAGCCUUUUCGUUAACUGGAUCUCCUACCUCCACUGUUAAUAAGUGGCGGCAAGACUCGAAUCCUGG
rnacentral:lncRNA from 1 species